rnacentral:rRNA from 1 species
AGCGAACGCUGGCGGCAGGCUUAACACAUGCAAGUCGAGCGGGCACCUUCGGGUGUCAGCGGCAGACGGGUGAGUACACGUGGGAACGUACCCUUCGGUUCGGAAUAACGCUGGGAAACUAGCGCUAAUACCGGAUACGCCCUUAUGGGGAAAGGUUUACUGCCGAAGGAUCGGCCCGCGUCUGAUUAGCUAGUUGGUGGGGUAACGGCCUACCAAGGCGACGAUCAGUAGCUGGUCUGAGAGGAUGAUCCGCCACACUGGGACUGAGACACGGCCCAGACUCCUACGGGAGGCAGCAGUGGGGAAUAUUGGACAAUGGGCGCAAGCCUGAUCCAGCCAUGCCGCGUGAGUGAUGAAGGCCUUAGGGUUGUAAAGCUCUUUUGUCCGGGACGAUAAUGACGGUACCGGAAGAAUAAGCCCCGGCUAACUUCGUG